rnacentral:lncRNA from 1 species
UAGGGAAGGCCUUUAUCAUAAGACAACAUUUAAGCAGGGAACUGAACAAAGAUAAAGAAACAGCCACGUGGACGUGUGGUGGAAGAUCGUUUGAAGGAGGAGAAGAGCAAGUCAAAGGCCCUGAGGCAAGAGCACACUGGGCAUGUUCAAGGGCCUGCCCUGAACAAUCGUGUACAGGGAGUACAAGUCCCUCAGGCCUCUGCAGCAGCAGGAAAUGGGCUCUGUCCAAGCCACUGGACUCCACUGAUGUGCUGAACAAGUGGAACUCGUCUUUUUGAAAUGAAUGCCUCGGGUACGUCCUGUUCCCAGCUCCUUCUCCAGCACCCGCAGCCCCUCGGCUGACAUUUCAGAAACACAGCCCAAGC